AUUGAACGCUAGCGGGAUGCUUUACACAUGCAAGUCGAACGGCAGCGCGGACUUCGGUCUGGCGGCGAGUGGCGAACGGGUGAGUAAUGCAUCGGAACGUGCCCAGUAGUGGGGGAUAACCAGUCGAAAGACUGGCUAAUACCGCAUACGACCCAAGGGUGAAAGCGGGGGACCGUAAGGCCUCGCGCUAUUGGAGCGGCCGAUGUCUGAUUAGCUAGUUGGCGGGGUAAGAGCCCACCAAGGCGACGAUCAGUAGCUGGUCUGAGAGGACGACCAGCCACACUGGGACUGAGACACGGCCCAGACUCCUACGGGAGGCAGCAGUGGGGAAUUUUGGACAAUGGGCGCAAGCCUGAUCCAGCCAUGCCGCGUGCGGGAAGAAGGCCUUCGGGUUGUAAACCGCUUUUGGCAGGAACGAAACGGCGCAGGCCAAUACCUUGCGCUAAUGACGGUACCUGCAGAAUAAGCACCGGCUAACUACGUGCCAGCCGCCGCGGUAACAC
rnacentral:rRNA from 1 species